rnacentral:rRNA from 1 species
AUUGAACGCUGGCGGCAUGCUUUACACAUGCAAGUCGAGCGGCAGCGCGGGCUUCGGCCUUGCGGCGAGUGGCGGACGGGUGAGUAAUGCCUCGGAACGUGCCCAGUAGUGGGGGAUAACGCGGCGAAACGCGGGUUAAUACCGCAUACGACCUGAGGGUGAAAGCGGGGGAUCGAAAGACCUCACGCUAUUGGAGCAGCCGAUGUCGGAUUAGCUAGUUGGUGGGGUAAAGGCUUACCAAGGCGACGAUCCGUAACUGGUCUGAGAGGAUGAUCAGUCACACUGGAACUGAGACACGGCCCAGACUCCUACGGGAGGCAGCAGUGGGGAAUAUUGGACAAUGGGCGCAACCCUGAUCCAGCCAUGCCGCGUGUGGGAAGAAGGCCUUCGGGUUGUAAAGCGCUUUAGGUCGGGAAGAAGGCCAGUGGGCUAAUACCCCGGGGGGAUGACGGUACCGGAAGAAUAAGCACCGGCUAACUACGUG